UACGUAGGGGGCAAGCGUUGUCCGGAUUUAUUGGGCGUAAAGAGCGUGUAGGCGGCCAGGUAGGUCCGUUGUGAAAACUGGAGGCUUAACCUCCAGCUGUCGAUGGAAACCAUCUGGCUAGAGUCCGGAAGAGGAGAGUGGAAUUCCUGGUGUAGCGGUGAAAUGCGCAGAUAUCAGGAGGAACACCAAUUGCGAAGGCAGCUCGCUGGGACGUAACUGACGCUGAUGCGCGAAAGCGUGGGGAGCAAACAGG
rnacentral:rRNA from 1 species